rnacentral:lncRNA from 1 species
GAAUAAAAGGAUCCCUUUCGCUUUAUUUUCUCACCCUUUUCCCUGAUAUUUCGGUUUGACGGCUGCUACCUCUUUCAACCCCCGGUGCUUCAAUCGAACGAGCUCUAUUAUUCUCGUGCAUCAUUAUGUCGGACGAGGAACCGGUUGACCAGAAGAAGUACUUUGAAGAGUUGUGCAAGCCUAAAUGUGUUAGAGCUUGGCUUGACUAUCAGGGUUGUGUGAAAAGGGUUCAGGCUGAUGAAACGGGCCACAAACAUUGCACUGGACAAUACUUUGAUUACUGGCACUGUGUUGACAAAUGUGUAAGCUUAUUCUCUUGUACACUUUUCUUUUUACGACCACAAUCGAUGGCAAGUUGGGUAAACCCAUUUUGAUAACUGGGUUGAAAUCGAGAGAACUGUAUUGCAGAUCGAACGGUUGGAUCCGUUUUUUUAAAUAACUGGGUUGAACUCGACAUUUUUGAAUCGUAUGAUAACUUCUACUCAUCUUUUGAUGCAGGUUGCACCUAGGCUGUUUGCAAAACUGAAAUAAUAUGCACAUCUAUACCUUGAGUUAAUCAUAAUAAGGAGUUGUGUCUAAAUUGGCAUAAAUUUCGAACAUUUGUGGUGUUUUAAUGGAUGUUUUUUCAUUGUGAAAAUAGACCUUUAGUUUCAAGCUUGUCCAUUUUGUGUCUUCUCUGUUAACCAACAAUUGUUUUUCUUUUCAUUUUGUGGCGAUGUUUUUAAAUAAUUGAAAACAAGUAGUUAUGCAAUUGGAGUGGUAAUAAGGGCUGUGUAACAGGCUGGUUAAAAAAUGCACUUGUAAAUAAACGGAUCAAAGUGAGAAAGUGAACGAUGAGAGAGAGACGGGAAGGAGAGUCUUGAGAGCAGGUAGAGGUGGCAAACGGAGCUAGGGUUCAAGCGACGACAAGAUUGGCAUUCUUCACGGUUGAACAGUGGCGGUAAUAACUAUGACGGCGACAUGGGUUCGUUUAGGGUUUUGUCCAACGGUGGUCUUGUGAUGGUUGUGGUUCCACCACCACAUAAAUCUGACACUUCUCUCUCCUUUUUCUCUCAACUCUUUCUCUAUGCUGAAGAUCUGCCCUUCAAUCUCGACAAAGGAAAGAUAGUGUUGGUGAACAAUAAGAGGUAGCACCUAGAGUCUUCAUCAUUCAUACUUUCUGAAUUUGUUUUUGGAAUGACAAUGUCAAAAUGCAUGUAUAUAUUCAUUUUGUUUUAUUAUCUGUCAUUUUGUUGCAAAUCUACACAAGUUUGAUUGAUAAGAAAAUGAUUGUGGAUUUGUAGUUGUUUGGGAGAUUUGGUUGAUAUAAGUUUUGUUUUGGUUUGAUUUAGGGUUGGUAGAUGUUGCUUGGUGAAUAUUUAAUCUAAAUAUUUUAUACAUUGAUUUGGGGAAAGUGAAUGCUAUAUGAAAUUGUAGUUGAUAAAAUAAACUACUUUUCUUUGUUGACACUUUAUUGACCGAGCAUUUUGUGGGAUUAGAUAAGUCCAUGAAUUUGCAAAUCAUAUUCAUGCAUAUUUAUUGGUAAGUUUUAGUUUUGGGUAGUAUCUUAUUUGCAGUUUUGUUAUGAGUGAUGGAGAAAAGACUUGCCCACUUUGUAAGAUGGAUCUGACUGAUCAGCAGCUAAAGCCUUGCAAAUGUGGAUAUAAUACCGGAGCUUGAGAGAAAUGCAUAGGAGUUGAUGAAAUACUUUGAGGCAACCCACGGGGACAUCUUUCAGUUAAUACUUGCAAUUGGUCAAGAUGAAAGGAAUCGAGCGAGUGUUUAAAAUGAUGGAACAUAAGUGAUCAGUAUCUAUUGAACAAGGGAGUGUUACUUCUUUGACACCAAAAAAGCACAAGGCUGGUUUGUCCAUAUCCUCCAAGGGAUAUAAAACGUGACUGAAGAUGAACAAGGCAAAAAUAUCUGCUCUUAGACUAGAAGGAGUUGUAUCACCAAUAGAAGUACGUGUCAUACGCAAAUUGAAUCCAAAUGUUAUGAGAUGACGAAACAUGCUAUGUGUUAGUCGACCAGCAGGUAUGUAUGAAAAUAUGAUUGCACACCAAAAUGGGCAUUCAACAAAGCUACACAAAUCCUAACUCUUACCACCAAGCACCUCUGCAAUAGGAGAGUAAUGAAAAUAUUUCUAUUGGAGACGAACCUGCUCAUCGCCUAUUGAACUUUUGAAGAGCGCACCAUUUCCAGCGCUACUGAACUCUGUCCGACAAAAGUUCAAAAAAGAAAGAACCUUCUACUUGCUAAUAUGAAUUUAGGUUCCUUUGUUUAGAUUACAUAUCGUUUCUUUCACUGGUUGCUUAUGACCCAGACAUCUAAAAUAGGUUGCUUUGGUAGGAGCAAACUAAUAGUGGCAAGCAGCUAACUCGCAAUAGAAAGUUUCAAAUCUGUCGUAGGAGGAAUACCAUGAUGUCUAGAAGGAUAUAUGAAGGUGAACAAGGUUUUUAAUCCAGCUAUUACUCCAACCAUUCUACCUCGCGUCACACGUAAACUAAAAAAAUGGCCAACUACAACAUGCCAUAGGUUAGUUAUUCUAUUUUUCUUAUUUAUAAUUCUUCAUUCAUGUUUUUGAUUACAACUGGAAAACAUUUAUUGAAUAUGUUUUCAUCCACGUUUU